AAUGAACGCUGGCGGCGUGCCUAACACAUGCAAGUCGGAUGUGCCCGCAAGGGUGCAUGGCAGACGGGUGAGUAACGCGUGGGGAAUCUACCUUUUAGUGGGGAAUAACGCUCCGAAAGGAGUGGUAAUACCGCAUGUGACCAUCGGCUGGGAUGCUGAUGGUGAAACCCUGGGACCUUCGGGCCAGGGGCUAGAAGAGGAUCCUGCGUCUGAUUAGCUAGUUGGCGGGGUAACGGCCCACCAAGGCGACGAUCAGUAGCCGGCCUGAGAGGGUGAUCGGCCACACUGGAACUGAGACACGGUCCAGACUCCUACGGGAGGCAGCAGUGGGGAAUUUUGCGCAAUGGACGAAAGUCUGACGCAGCGACGCCGCGUGGAGGAUGACGGUUUUCGGAUUGUAAACUCCUGUUAAGCGGGAAGAAAGCCUUGUUUCUAAUACAAGCAAGGUAUGACGGUACCGCUAGAGAAAGCACCGGCUAACUUCGUGCCAGCAGCCG
rnacentral:rRNA from 1 species